CGUUGGAGAGGCGGUUCGGGCGCCCCUGCGAGGGGGCUGCUGCUUCUCGCCCGCUGCGUGGUGCGGAGGGCAAUCAGCCGCUCCAGGCGGAGUUUUCACCUCGAGGCCAAGUCGUUAUGCAGUAAUCGGCGUGCGAGAGGUGCCUGAGUACUUGGUUGAGAGGAAAAGCCGGCUUCUCAGCCGCCCCGUCUCUGAAGGUACAGCUGUUAAGUAUGCAACUGCAGUGGACUUGACAAGCUGGAGAAGCCCAGGAGGCAACUUGUGAAGAAAGAGAACAAGCAGUGGGGUUUGUAGUGCUCACAGCUGAGUGCAGUCUGUUUCACUUCCAACACCAAAGGUCCAUGUGAGCUGUGCUAGCCCCUGGCUUGCUUUCAGUGGAUUUCUACACAUUUUGAUGCUGUAGACGAUCUGCCAAUUGGGCUGAAGGCCAGGAGAAAUGGUAAAUGCAAGACUGCAAUGCUCCAUCCUCAGACAAAAAUCAUCAGAUCCCAAGGAAAGUUGCAGUUCCAGCAGGAGUGAGGAAAUAGCAAGCUUUCAAUUAUUUACACUGUGGCGAUACCUGAAGAGAAAUUCACCAAACAAAAAAAAGG